UUUAAAGCAGACAAAUGGGGCUGAGCUCU
rnacentral:piRNA from 1 species